rnacentral:lncRNA from 1 species
UUUCCUAAGACUGUCAACAGAACUGGGAAUCACCCAUGGUGUGGCCUUCCGGAAAGGAGUUAGAACACUCCAGUUCUCUAGCAACAAGAACAGUCUUUGACAGGAUUGACAUCUUUAAGAAAGCUUUGAGUGUGUACAGGGAUGUACACAGAGCCUGGUUUGGAAGUGCUCACAGGCAAUCUUGAGGUAUGCCCACGGACACUGCUGAGGAACUUACACUGCUGAAGUACACCUACAGACAUAGCUGAGGUACACCCACAGACGCUGCCUAGGUACUUACUCUCCUGGAUGCUGCUAAGGAACACCUGCAGAUGCUGCUGAGGUAUACCCACAGAGGAAGGGCUUUUUCCUUCACCUUGCUGAGGAGGCUUCUCUCCUAGGGGAGCCAACAAGAAUGCCUUCAAAUAGAACAACUAUUCUUACCAGGUUGGUUUUUUAUUUUGAGACAGGGUUUCUCUGUACUGCUUUGGAGCCUUUCCUAGAACUCGCUCUGUAGACCAGGCUGGCCUCAAACUCACAGAGAUUCACCUGCCUCUGCCUCCUGAGUGCUGGGAUUAAAGGCGUGCACCCCCAACACCAGGCC